GUGUCAGCCGCCGCGGUAAUACGAAGGGGGCUAGCGUUGUUCGGAAUUACUGGGCGUAAAGCGUAUGCAGGCGGAUCGUUAAGUCGGGGGUGAAAUCCCGAGGCUCAACCUCGGAACUGCCUUCGAUACUGACGAUCUUGAGUCCGGGAGAGGUGAGUGGAACUCCGAGUGUAGAGGUGAAAUUCGUAGAUAUUCGGAAGAACACCAGUGGCGAAGGCGGCUCACUGGCCCGGCACUGACGCUGAGAUACGAAAGCGUGGGGAGCAAACAGGAUUAGAUACCCUGGUAGUCCACGCCGUAAACGAUGGAUGCUAGCCGUCGGAGAGCAUGCUCUUCGGUGGCGCAGCUAACGCAAUAAGCAUCCCGCCUGGGGAGUACGAUCGCAAGAUUAAA
rnacentral:rRNA from 1 species